UACAGAGGGUGCGAACGUUGCUCGGAAUUACUGGGCGUAAAGCGCGUGUAGGCGGCUAAUCAAGUCAGAUGUGAAAGCCCUGGGCUCAACCCAGGAACUGCAUUUGAAACUGGUUGGCUUGAGUGUUGGAGAGGGAAGCGGAAUUCCUGGUGUAGAGGUGAAAUUCGUAGAUAUCAGGAGGAACACCGGUGGCGAAGGCGGCUUCCUGGACAACUACUGACGCUGAGACGCGAAAGCGUGGGGAGCAAACAGG
rnacentral:rRNA from 1 species